GACCAGGCGAACCUCUCCUCCAUCCAGGGGUCGCUCUCGCCGGCAGUUGCCGGCCUUGUUGUCUUCGCGAAGACGUCUCAUGAGGCCUGGACCAUCCUUGAGCGCACCUUUGCAGCGCAGUCCCAGGCUCGUGUCUCUGCACUCCGUCGUCAGCUUGGAGAGUGUCAGAAGCUUGACUCCACUGCGACUGAGUUCUACAACAAGGUCAAGGGCCUCGCCGACACAUUGGCCUCCAUUGGACAGCCCCUCACCGACUCCGAGUUCAACUCGUUUAUUGUCAAUGGUCUUGAUGAGGAGUAUGAUGCCUUAGUCGAGAUCAUCAACGAGCGGGGCAACUCGACACCCAUGCUGGCACACGAGGUUUUCUCUCGGCUCCUUCUCACUGAGCAACGGGUCGAGACUCGCCGCACCAGGGGCACUGGCUCCCUCUCGGCCAACUCCGCCACCAAGGGUGGCCGCUCUUCUUCAUCA
rnacentral:rRNA from 1 species